AGUGAACGCUGGCGGUAGGCCUAACACAUGCAAGUCGAACGGCAGCACAGUAAGAGCUUGCUCUUACGGGUGGCGAGUGGCGGACGGGUGAGGAAUACAUCGGAAUCUACUUUUUCGUGGGGGAUAACGUAGGGAAACUUACGCUAAUACCGCAUACGACCUACGGGUGAAAGCAGGGGAUCUUCGGACCUUGCGCGAUUGAAUGAGCCGAUGUCGGAUUAGCUAGUUGGCGGGGUAAAGGCCCACCAAGGCGACGAUCCGUAGCUGGUCUGAGAGGAUGAUCAGCAAAACUGGAACUGAGACACGGGCCAGACUCCUACGGGAGGCAGCAGUGGGGAAUAUUGGACAAUGGGCGCAAGCCUGAUCCAGCCAUACCGCGUGGGUGAAGAAGGCCUUCGGGUUGUAAAGCCCUUUUGUUGGGAAAGAAAAGCAGCAGGUUAAUACCCCGCUGUUCUGACGGUACCAAAAGAAUAAGCACCGGCUAACUUCGU
rnacentral:rRNA from 1 species